AAAUUGAAGAGUUUGAUCAUGGCUCAGAUUGAACGCUGGCGGCAGGCCUAACACAUGCAAGUCGAACGGUAACAGGAAGCAGCUUGCUGCUUCGCUGACGAGUGGCGGACGGGUGAGUAAUGUCUGGGAAACUGCCUGAUGGAGGGGGAUAACUACUGGAAACGGUAGCUAAUACCGCAUAACGUCGCAAGACCAAAGAGGGGGACCUUCGGGCCUCUUGCCAUCGGAUGUGCCCAGAUGGGAUUAGCUUGUUGGUGGGGUAACGGCUCACCAAGGCGACGAUCCCUAGCUGGUCUGAGAGGAUGACCAGCCACACUGGAACUGAGACACGGUCCAGACUCCUACGGGAGGCAGCAGUGGGGAAUAUUGCACAAUGGGCGCAAGCCUGAUGCAGCCAUGCCGCGUGUAUGAAGAAGGCCUUCGGGUUGUAAAGUACUUUCAGCGGGGAGGAAGGGAGUAAAGUUAAUACCUUUGCUCAUUGACGUUACCCGCAGAAGAAGCACCGGCUAACUCCGUGCCAGCAGCCGCGGUAAUACGGAGGGUGCAAGCGUUAA
rnacentral:rRNA from 1 species